UACGUAGGUGGCAAGCGUUAUCCGGAUUUACUGGGUGUAAAGGGCGUGUAGGCGGGAUGUCAAGUCAGGUGUGAAAUUCCAGGGCUCAACCCUGGACGUGCACUUGAAACUGAUGUUCUUGAGUGAUGGAGAGGCAAGCGGAAUUCCGUGUGUAGCGGUGAAAUGCGUAGAUAUACGGAGGAACACCAGUGGCGAAGGCGGUUUGCUGGACAUUAACUGACGCUAAGGCGCGAAAGCGCGGGGAGCAAACAGGAUUAGAUACCCU
rnacentral:rRNA from 1 species